GAUUUUGAGUACGUCAUUAUCUGAGGAUGUGCUAUUCAAAUUAUAAGCAUAACUUCGCAGCAGCUUUAUCAGAAUUGAAGAUUGGAUUUCAAUAAAAAUACAAAUAUCCAGUUUACCUUUUUAAUAUAACAAAAUUUUCGUUUGAAAGAGAAAUAUACAACUACUGGUUAUAAUAGUUUCAUACAAAAUGCAAAAGACCAUAUACAUCAGACAUCAAGAUUAUAACAUAAUUUUAAAUAUUACAAAAUCAGAAAGAACAAUUUAAUACUAAACAAAGAACAUUUACAACAAAAGUCGCUCUCUAUUUGCUGACUAAGAUAGAGAUUUGCUAGGAAUUUGUAGUUAGUUGAAACUUCUUCUUCAUAUCAAAUUCCAGCCAACAAACACAAUCCAAGAAAUAAUUAGUAUCCAUAUUAGCCGCUUAAUCUUUUUCUUUAGAGUGUUCAGCUCGUCCUCCAUUGCCGAUCUCUUCCGCAAAAAACCAAUAAUAACUUGGCGAGAGCGAUAAGUCACAGGGGGAUCAUACCAAGAAAAAUAUCCAUACUCACUAGGUCACUGUAGUGAUCUCUGUAAACAAAAAAACGGGAGGUUAGGAUCCAAAUGAAAAAUCGUGAAAAAGGUUGGGGGCCCAUUUGAAAAAGAAGGAAAAGAUUAGGGACCUAAGUGAAAAAUCGAGAAAAGGUUAAGGAUCGGUGUUGUAACAGAGAGGAAAACACAAAUAAGAAAUUUUCACAAACUUAAAACCUCAAAAAUAAGGGAAGAAAAUGAACAUCGAAAGAGAUUACCUCAUAGUGUCUGCAGCAAAAAAAUAUCCUACUAGAAUUAGCUUCAGUCCAUGAUGUCUUUAAAGUAGCUGCGACGCCACAGUAACAGAUAGGAACAUUAUGGCUUUCGGUGGACAUUUCAGACAUUUCUCAAGGUAGUGUGAUGCUCAAGAGAAGAAAAAAUGAAUUAUUACAGUGAAAACCCUUUUCUCUUAGCUAGGUUUUUUUCUAUAUAUAAAGUUAAAAAGGAAGAAAGGGUUUCGGACAUUUUAUAUUUAUAUAUUUAUCCUAUUUAUAUUCCCUACAAAUAAUUGGUCAAAGAUCAUUAUGACCUAAGGCGGGAAAUUUUCCCUCCAAAUAGACACCAACGUGGCGCCUACGUAUCAGUUUCCGUCGAGUGUGACGGAAAUAUAGACGGUAGGACCUAAUUGAAAUAAUUUAUUGCAAUUGGGGACUCAAUUGACGAAAAAAAAAGUUAGGGACCUAGUUGAAAAUUUGGAAAAAGGUUGGGGACUAUGGUGUAAUUUACCCUUUUUAAAAUAAAACUUCAGAAAUAUCUCAUUUGCCCUUAUUUUUUUUUUUUUUCAAUAUGCUCCUCAUAUGUUCCUCCGUUAUUCCAAAAUACCCCUACAGUUAUCACCCGUUAAGUUAACUUGGGUUAAACGUGAGUUAAAUAUCUACCACAGUUUAAAAAAAUUAAAAUGUCAAUUUUACCCUUAACUUAAGGACAAAUAAGAAAUAUUGGUGACGAUAGACGGGUAUAUUUGAAAAGAUCAAAAGUCAAAAUACUUUUCGUACCCCUGAUUUAAGGGCAAAUAAGAAAAAUCGGUGAUUAUGGAAGAGUAUAUUUGAAAGGGCAAAAUAGUAAUUUUAUACAGAUAAUAGAGUUCAUUAACAGAUUUUAAUUCUAGGGGUAUAUUUGAAAUAGGUUGGAACGUAAAAAGGGUAUUUUUCAAUAUUAGCCUUCUAAGAGGGGUAAAUCAGAACGUCGGAAACUUUUCAGGAGUAUAUAAGCAAUUGCCCCAAUAAUAAAAAUGCAUUUCCUCUUCUAUAAGAAAAUAUACUUUUUAAAUAUAUUUCUUUUAUUUUGAAGAGUAUUUUUGAUAUAAAUUAAAAGAAAUAGAUAGAACAGUGAUAAAAACUUGACGGGAGAAAAAUUAAAUACAACAAUUUAAAAUAUUGAAGGAGUAAAAUAUAGAUUUUUUUUUAAAUUUAGAAAGGAAAAAUAAAUAGCGUUCCGAAAAUAUUAACAGGGUCGCUAGUUCAAAUAAUAGGUCAGUCAUUAAUAU
rnacentral:lncRNA from 1 species